rnacentral:rRNA from 1 species
GACGAACGCUGGCGGCGUGCUUAACACAUGCCAGUCGAACGAUGAAGCCUAGCUUGCUAGGUGGAUUAGUGGCGAACGGGUGAGUAAUACGUGAGUGACCUACCUUUGACUCUGGGAUAAGCCUGGGAAACUGGGUCUAAUACCGGAUACGACCAAUCUCCGCAUGGGGUGUUGGUGGAAAGCGUUAUGGAGUGGUUUUAGAUGGGCUCACGGCCUAUCAGCUUGUUAGUGAGGUAAUGGCUUACCAAGGCGACGACGGGUAGCCGGCCUGAGAGGGUGACCGGCCACACUGGGACUGAGACACGGCCCAGACUCCUACGGGAGGCAGCAGUGGGGAAUAUUGCACAAUGGGCGCAAGCCUGAUGCAGCGACGCCGCGUGAGGGAUGACGGCCUUCGGGUUGUAAACCUCUGUUAGCAUCGAAGAAGCGAAAGUGACGGUAGGUGCAGAGAAAGCGCCGGCUAACUACGUG